rnacentral:rRNA from 1 species
AUUGAACGCUGGCGGCAUGCUUUACACAUGCAAGUCGAACGGUAACAGGCCGCAAGGUGCUGACGAGUGGCGAACGGGUGAGUAAUGCAUCGGAACGUGCCCAGUCGUGGGGGAUAACGCAGCGAAAGCUGUGCUAAUACCGCAUACGAUCGGUGGAUGAAAGCGGGGGACCGAAAGGCCUCGCGCGAUUGGAGCGGCCGAUGUCAGAUUAGGUAGUUGGUGGGGUAAAGGCUCACCAAGCCAACGAUCUGUAGCUGGUCUGAGAGGACGACCAGCCACACUGGGACUGAGACACGGCCCAGACUCCUACGGGAGGCAGCAGUGGGGAAUUUUGGACAAUGGGCGCAAGCCUGAUCCAGCAAUGCCGCGUGCAGGAAGAAGGCCUUCGGGUUGUAGACUGCUUUUGUACGGAGCGAAAAGGCUCUCUCUAAUACAGGGGGCUCAUGACGGUACCGUAAGAAUAAGCACCGGCUAACUACGUGCCAGCAGCCGCCGUAACAC